rnacentral:sRNA from 1 species
GCCUAGCCCAGAUAGCAGUGAAAAUCCUUUUUUGAGGCUUUUCGCCUCAAGAAAGAUUGCAACGGAUAGCUGGAAAUAGC